UACGGAGGGUGCAAGCGUUAUCCGGAUUCACUAGGGUUAAAGGGUCCGUAGGCGGUUUGGUAAGUCAGUGGUGAAAGCCCAUCGCUCAACGGUGGAACGGCCAUUGAUACUGCUAGACUUGAAUUAUUAGGAAGUAACUAGAAUAUGUAGUGUAGCGGUGAAAUGCUUAGAGAUUACAUGGAAUACCAAUUGCGAAGGCAGGUUACUACUAAUGGAUUGACGCUGAUGGACGAAAGCGUGGGUAGCGAACAGG
rnacentral:rRNA from 1 species